UUUUAAUAAAAAUAAUAAAUAUUUUUUUUAUAGGGUUUAAAUCUAUUGCACUAAUCUGCCAUAUUAAA
rnacentral:tRNA from 1 species